rnacentral:lncRNA from 1 species
AUGAUCCUGACAAACAACCAGCCAGUCACACUCCUCUUGUGCCUUGAACUGUGGUGUCAUCCUGAGCUCAAGGGACAAUUAGAAGACUUGUGCCCCUCUUCUCCACCUUCAACGCAGGAGAGAGGCCAUAAGGUGCACUACUCCAGAGAUCAGGGAAGACUCAGAUCUUCCCUCCGCAGCAGGAAGUGUAAACUUUCUCCGAAGGCUCCAACAUACUACAGCCUCAAGACUAAGUCUUGCCCAAUCUCUAAGACAAAACUGGAACUGACAGUCACUUAACACAGUAAGCAUUGUGAUGCUUCUGGUGCACUCAGGUGCUGACCCUUCUCUGGCACCGUGCACACCAGGACAUUCCUCAAUGCCCCCUGUUGGGUACAAUGACCUUAUCAAUUAAUGAAGGGCUCCUAGAACCAGCAAAUUUGAUAUGGGUGCACUCCUGCUUCCAUCCUCAUUGCCUCUAUGUGUACUGUUAGGAGAUACCAGCAUCCCAUCCUGGGGUAUCUGGUUGUCCAGGCCAUCCAGUAGAGAUUGGAACAACAAUCCAGAUCCAUUCCCAGAAAAUAAGAUCAUUGAAGUUGGAUCUUUUUAGAGGGAAAGUUUAUUCCUCAGCAAGACUCCAAUUAAGAAUCACUAUGUUGAUGUCUACACUGCAGCCUCUACAGGUGUCCAGGCACAGAGAGGUAUGCAAACCCUCCUAUUUUUCACACUCAACCUCCUAAAGCAUGCAUUUUGGGGCAAGUAGAUUCCAAGCUAGCCAGCUCAUCUGAGAGGUGUAGGUAUGUGUUUCGGUGAGCUGUGGCCCAGCCCCAAACCUAUCCGCUUUGCAAUGUGGCUGUAGCGAAGACACAGACACCUAGUCUCGAGUCUGAAUAGCCCUUCAUUCCCCUGAUACUCUGUAUCCAUAUCUUCUUCCCCUUCUAUUAACUUCCUACUGCCCCAGUAUGCCCCUGAAAUUGCAUGCUACAGCCUUCAUCAGCUUAAAAUAUCCAUAAAUCAGGGAACAACUAAUUGGCCAGAGAAGCAAACUAGGAUUUUAAUCAAUACAUGGCAAGAUUAUGGCCAUGAGCAUGAUUUCGCUUGGAGCAGAAGGACUAUACAUCUGUAUGCUUGUAUAUCCACGAGGCUGGUUAAGUUGGGCAUUGGGCGUACUGCUGUUCUGCACAAGAGAGAGAAUGAAACAUUUGAAGCAAUAAUACUGGAAGGUCCAGGACACCAAUACAAAGUCAGGAAACAU